GACCAUCUAGUGCAAUGGAUAGCACAUUGGACUUCUAAUCCAAGGGUCGUGAGUUCGAAUCCCACCUAGAUGGCCU
rnacentral:tRNA from 1 species